CUACUUGUUCUUUAUACAAUCCCACUGCCAGUAGGAUAUGACCCAAAGGGUACUCAGAGGAAUGAAAUCUGGCAGAUGGAUGAGUUUCAUUUUGCAGAAUUUGGAAAACUGAAAUAUGUAUAUACCACACCAUUGAUAUCUAUCCAGGAUUUCAAUGAACAACUGCUCUGAGUUCCGAGAAGGCUGAUUCUGUAAUCACACAUUUGCUAGAAGUUAUGGCCAUCAUGAGUACACCUGAACAAAUUAAAACUGACAAUACUCCAGCACAUGUCUCUGGAACAACAGCUUUGGAGAGAAACUGGAUAACAGUAAAAGCUACAGAAUUAAAUUAGCCUAUACACUUUAAGGAUGUGCUGACCUCAGAAUGGAAACUAAGAUAUGAAUUACAUUGGGGACGAGGUUUCACUUUUGUUUCUACAAGAGAAGAAAAGCUACAGAUACCAUCAAAAUUGAUAAAGGAGAAUGAAGGCUAGAAAAUCUGAAUAACAGUGGACAAAUGAGACCUCUGAAGAAAAAGGACAAAUCAUCCAGAAAAAAAAAGUCCCAAGAUAAAGAGUAAAUUGGCAUAUUGGUAUAUCACAUAGCUAACAGGAUAAAAUUUCUUAAGUCUUCCGAACUGUUUGUUUCUGCUGUUCUCUACAGACACAUAAUGCAAAUGGUUUUUAUGUAAUCCCAGUUCAAUUAAAAAUUAAAGUUGGUUUUAGAAUUGGAA